ACUAAAAAUGGCUCUGUCUUAAGGAAACCUUAAAAAGUAGUUCUUUUUUUGUGCUAUGUACAGUGUUGCCCUCAAAGGAAUUGGAAUAGCAUGUAAAAUAGAACGUGGAGUCAUAGGCUGUUGUAGGUCCCUGAUCACACCAUGCUCUUAAUCACCUCAUUUUCUCUGUCUUCAAUGCCCUUUCCCAAUCUGGGGUGCCUCUCUUCUUUCCUUCCCCCAACCUCCCAACGUACACAACUCUUGGAAAAUACUGUAUAUAAUGAAGAGUGAAGAAAUGAAAGGAUGAUGGAUGGAUACAUGUUUGGGCACCAUGGACAUAAAGUCAGAAGAUCUGGGUUCUUGUUUGGGUCAGCACAACCGCCUUGUAAAGCCAUUGCUGCUAUUGGAGAUAAGCUGACCCCUGUAUUGGGCAGUGCAGUUGGGCCAUCUCUGCCAGGCCCAGUGACAGUGACAUGCCCACACCAGCCUGUCCACACCUCCUCCUCAGCCAGAAGCCACAGGACAUGGAGGAGUGUUGCAGAUUCCAGUGUGGGUCAUCACAGAACUAAUGCUUCCUGAAGUCCAGGGUUCAUCUGCAUGCCUCAGGGAUGAGCAGAAAGCAUCUCUUCCCAACUUGAAUAUA